AGCCCUAGUAGUCACAGUUGAUCAACAGACCAUAGCAAAUCAGCAGGAGGAAAAAAAAGGAACUAUUCCACUUUAAGGUAAGAGCAGGGUACAUAGAAUUUUAGUGUGGUUGCCUGUUUACUAGUACUGUCUGGUUUGGGAGUUGUGUGUAGAUACCUUUAUCUGCCUUUUACCUUGACCUGGUUUGAAUGAAGAGUAACUAGAAAAGAGCUUUCCUCAAGAGUGUGGCACUCAGAAGCCUUACCAAUUACUGGACUCCCCAUCACAUUCUUCAGUGUUCCCCAAGAGAAAAUAUGAGUGUGUCUCUGUUAAAGCAGCACAGGGACUAGGGUUUUUGAGAAGGAAAGUCUUUGGUGGUCAGUGGUGGUCAGGUAGGGUCCUUGGCAUGCAGCAAGACUUAGGGAAGCAGGGUUAAGUCUAGAAGAUCACUCCUGAGUUUUGGCUGGUGGCGUAGGGAGCAUUUACUGUGAGGGUGGUGAGGCACUGGAAUGGGUUGCCCAAGGAGGUGGUAAAUGCUCCAUCCCUGGCAGUGUUCAAGGCCAGGUUGGACAGAGCCUUGGGUGAUAAGGUCUAGAGUGAAGCAUCCCUGCCCAUGGCAGGGAGGUUGGAACUAGAUGAUCUUAAGGUCCUUUCCAGUCCAAUCCAUUCUCUUCUUCUGUGAUUGUAUGGUUCUCUGUUCUUCUACAAAAAUUUGGUGCCCAAAAAGAUUUUUCAGGAUUGUUUAAACCAUAAAGAAGCAGCAGGUUCUUGUUUUCUGGUAGUCAGUGUGUUCCCUGGGGAGAGUUAUUUGCAAUUUUUAUCUGAUGACUGCUUUGUAUGUCAGGAGCCUGUUUAUAGGCACCUUCUGAGGACAGUAGCUACUUCUGGGUAAUAUUUUCAUGGCAGUGGGCUCAUAUCACCUUCAGCAGGGGAACAGAAUCUGUCUUGUAUGCUCUUGAUAACUGCUCUGCUUCUUGGCAUACCAUGCAGUUGAGUGAACAUUGCCUCCAUUUGUCCAGGGGCAGCUGCUUCCACAUUUUAGAAGGAGCCCAGCUAAACAGUGCAUCAGGAGAGUGCACUCAAGGUGCGUAUUGAAUAGGAUUCCAAAUGGACUAAUGCUUGAUCUCUGGGAAAGAAACGUGAUGCACAGGUUUAUGAAUAUGCGCAUAGUACAGUAACACUGAAGGAACUCAUGGAGAUAUACUGAGGACUCAGAAGAGAGUAAGAACAAGAAUGGUUUGUCUGGAUAAUAACUAUGAUACUGGGAAGCCUUAGCAAGUUUUUAAUGCUCUAGGACCCUGAAAAGAUUUCUGAUUUUCAACUACAGGCUUGAAAUUAUUUACUCCUUUUUCUUCAAUAGCUCUGUUAAAUAUUACUUUUAAAUUCAAUCACGUAUUUUUUUUUAAAUGUGCUUUUAAUCAACAUGUUCAGCAGUGUUCAAAAAACCAAAAGAUCAAAUGAAUCAUUGGUGACAAAUAAUUGUUUUCUUUCUUCCUUGUUCACCAUAAUCAAACCUGUUCCUUUACCAAGAUGGUAUUUUCAAAAUCAAAGUAAUCCUUAAAUGUUUUAUAGUGACUUUUAGAGAGUAGAAUUCACAUUUUUUUGACUAACAGUAUACAUGUCCUGUGUAAAGACGGUAGUCCAGCAUUUGUUUUUUAGCAGUAAGGAUUUGCGAGAGCCUGGGUCUCAGCUGGUUUCUGCCAUCUCGUGGCUACAUGGAGUCACUACCUCAAUACUUCAAAUUCCCACUAAUUCUUAGUAACCAAUAUUCUGAAUAACUAAGCAAGAUCACAGAAUCACAGAGAGUGUUGGCAGGGACCUCUGGAUGUCAUCUGGUCUGUCCAGGCCCUCUGCUCAAGCAGCAAGUUGCCCUGGACCAUGUCCAGACAGCUUCUGAAUGUCUCCAAGGAGGGAGAUUCCACCAGCUCUCUGGGCAGCCCGUGCCAGUGUUUGGUUACUUGCACAGUGAAAAAGUGUUUCCUGGUGUUCAAAGGGAACCUUCUGUAUUUCAGUUUGUCCUUCUGGUCCUGUCACUGGGCACCACUGGGAAGAGCCUGCCUCUGUCCUCUUUGCACUCUCCAUUCAGUUGCAGGAGAUCACAGCACACAAGUUAUGAGUGAGGGCAGCCUUGGUAAACUACCGGAACAAUAAAGAAAUAAAUGGAUGAAGUGAGACCAUGGUAGUGACCUGAAGGAUUGACAAAUUCUUCAUGGAUCUCUUUUACAAUGCCCAAAUAUCUGCAACUCUCUUGACCUCUGUUCACCUUUGACAUGGAAGUUCCAAACCCAGACUGCUGGCUUCUGCAGAGAGUCAAUCACCUGCUGGAGAUUUCAAAGCCUUGUUCUUGCACAGCAUACAGUCAUGUAUCUGCAUUUAAAGGCCUCCACAUCAGUGAAUUAAAAGAUGUUAUUGGCACAUUGCA